rnacentral:rRNA from 1 species
UCCUACGGGAGGCAGCAGUGGGGGAUAUUGCACAAUGGGGGGAACCCUGAUCCAGCCAUGCCGCGUGUGUGAAGAAGGCCUUCGGGUUGUAAAGCACUUUCAGUGGUGAGGAAAGGUUAACGGUUAAUACCCGUUAGCUGUGACGUUAGCCACAGAAGAAGCACCGGCUAACUCCGUGCCAGCAGCCGCGGUAAUACGGAGGGUGCGAGCGUUAAUCGGAAUUACUGGGCGUAAAGCGCACGCAGGCGGUUUGUUAAGCAAGAUGUGAAAGCCCCGGGCUCAACCUGGGAACUGCAUUUUGAACUGGCAGACUAGAGUCUUGGAGAGGGGGGUGGAAUUCCAGGUGUAGCGGUGAAAUGCGUAGAGAUCUGGAGGAACAUCAGUGGCGAAGGCGGCCCCCUGGCCAAAGACUGACGCUCAUGUGCGAAAGUGUGGGUAGCGAACAGGAUUAGAUACCCUGGUAGUCCACACCGUAAACGCUGUCUAUUAGCUGUCUGUGUAUUUAAUACGUGGGUAGCGUAGCUAACGCGCUAAGUAGACCGCCUGGGGAGUACGGCCGCAAGGUUAAAACUCAAAUGAAUUGACGG